rnacentral:rRNA from 1 species
GAAAUGCGAUAAGUAAUGUGAAUUGCAGAAUUCAGUGAAUCAUCGAAUCUUUGAACGCACCUUGCGCCCUUUGGUAUUCCGAAGGGCAUGCCUGUUUGAGUGUCAUUAAAUUCUCAACCUUGAAAGGCUUGUCUUUUCAAUGGCUUGGAUGUGAGGGUUUUGCUGGCUUCCUUCAGUGGAUGGUCUGCUCCCUUUAAAAGCAUUAGUGGGAUCCUUUGUGGACGGUCACUUGGUGUGAUAAUUAUCUACGCCGUUUGUACUGUGAAGCAAAACUUGUGGGAACCUGCUUAUAACCGUCUGUAAUGGACAAUUUUGAACCUUUGACCUCAAAUCAGGUAGGACUACCCGCUGAACUUAAGCAUAUCAAUAAGCGGAGGAAAAGAAACU